UACGAAGGGGGCAAACGUUGCUCGGAAUCAUUGGGCGUAAAGCGCACGUAGGCGGCUUGCCAAGUCGGACGUGAAAUCCCUCAGCUCAACUGAGGACGUGCAUCCGAAACUGGCGAGCUUGAGUACUGAAGAGGAUCGCGGAAUUCCCGGUGUAGAGGUGAAAUUCGUAGAUAUCGGGAGGAACACCAGUGGCGAAGGCGGCGAUCUGGGCAGAUACUGACGCUGAGGUGCGAAAGCGUGGGGAGCAAACAGG
rnacentral:rRNA from 1 species